rnacentral:lncRNA from 1 species
AUGGACUGAAGACAAUGUGCAACAAACCAAUACCUCCGGAAGGAAAACGAUCCUCACAGGUACUGCACCGGGGAGUGUGCCGCACACACAAAGUGCGGCCCCGUUAUUGUUCCUGAGGAACAUCUCCAGCAAUGCCGGGUCUACCGUGGGGGUAAGUGGCCUCAUGGAGCAGUGGGUGUGCCAGACCAAGAAGGCAUCUCAGAUGCAGACUUUGUUCUUUACGUUGGUGCUCUGGCCACCGAGAGAUGCAGCCAUGAAAACAUCAUCUCUUAUGCAGCCUAUUGUCAGCAGGAAGCAAACAUGGACAGGUAAUCUUUCCUCCGGGACUUAGUUUCCAAGAUCUAAUGUGGGAACUCUUAAAGCAAACUGUAUUUUUAGUGUUAAGAUUACAGGAAUCUUGCAUUUGCCAGAUUGCCUCUGGUAGACAGGAAUAGCAUGCUGCCUGGGUUUGGAGUGGGGUUAGGAGACCGUGAUUAGACUGUUAUUAAUGUGAUAACCCAAGUUUUUAGUCAAAGUGAAAGAGAGAAAAGUGAAGCACUUCGUUUGACUU